GACGAACGCUGCGGCAGGCUUAACACAUGCAAGUCGAGCGAGCGGCGGCCGGGUGAGUUAUGCUUCGGAAUCUGCCUAUUCGUGUGGGACAACAUCUCGAAAGGGAUGCUAAUACCGCAUACUCAUAGAUGAGUCUAAGUCGGAUUAGCUAGUUGUUGGGGUAAAGGCCUACCAAGGCGACGAUCUGUAGCGGGUCUGAGAGGAUGAUCCGGCACACUGGGACUGGGACACGGCCCAGACUCCUACGGGAGGCAGCAGGGGGGAAUAUUGGACAAAGGGGGGAACCCUGAUCCAGCCAUGCCGCGUGUGUGAAGAAGGCCUUAUGGUUGUAAAGCACUUUAAGCGAGGAGGCGUUACUCGCAGAAUAAGCACCGGCUAACUCUGUGCCAGCAGCCGCGGUAAUAC
rnacentral:rRNA from 1 species